GAAAGAUUAAGUUAGAAAAGCUAGGUAUAAGCAAAAUAGGAUUAGUAGAUUAAUUUGAGAUAGUAUAAAAAAUCUAGUAUAAAUUCCUAAGUAAAAGGCAUCUUAAAGAGCAUCAAUUUUACAUCUUUUUAGCAUCUUAGGAGCAUCUAGAAAGAAUCUAAAAUAUUUAAAAUUCUAGUAUUUUAGAAUACAUAUAUAGCCUAGAGAAGGUCCUUAUAUGAUCCGGAUACAAAUGAAUAUCAUCAGAAUAUGCACUAGAUAUAGGUUGAUAUCAGUGCAAUAUAAUAUAGUAGAAUUAUAAGGUACAGAAUAUGGUGUUGAAUACAUCACUGAAUAC
rnacentral:lncRNA from 1 species